ACUUCUUUUUCUCUCUUUCCUCUUAAUUACUUUUCGUAAAGCGUUCUCAGGCGGUUCGCUAAGACAGGUGUGAAAUCCCCGGGCUUAACCUGGGAAUGGCGCUUGUGACUGGCGGGCUGGAGUACGGCAGAGGGGGGUGGAAUUCCACGUGUAGCAGUGAAAUGCGUAGAGAUGUGGAGGAACACCGAUGGCGAAGGCAGCCCCCUGGGCCGAUACUGACGCUCAUGCACGAAAGCGUGGGGAGCAAACAG
rnacentral:rRNA from 1 species